AGCUCCAAAAUGGCGGUACCUCUGC
rnacentral:rasiRNA from 1 species